rnacentral:rRNA from 1 species
UACGGAGGGUGCGAGCGUUGUCCGGAAUCACUGGGCGUAAAGGGCGCGUAGGCGGCUUUUCAAGUGACGGGUGAAAUCCCUCGGCUUAACCGAGGAACUGCCUGUCAGACUGGAAGGCUUGAGACCGGGAGAGGUGAGUGGAAUUCCCAGUGUAGCGGUGAAAUGCGUAGAUAUUGGGAGGAACACCAGUGGCGAAGGCGGCUCACUGGACCGGAACUGACGCUGAGGCGCGAAAGCGUGGGGAGCAAACAGG